GGUAGCGCGCGUCCAUGUGCAUUUCUUCGGCGGCAUGUUCGCGUACGUUCGUUUCCGCGACGACAACGAAAAGCGAAUCGUCCCAGUGGCUGCAUGUAAACACCUCAAGCCGAACGAUACGAGCGAUUUUAAUCCUCGCAAAUGGUACAAAGCCUUCUGGAAAGAUGAAACACACUGCGACCACUACCACGUGCGCUCAAGUGAUUAGGCUUUACGCUACCGAGGACGAUGCAAGGAAGGCUACCGAAAAACGAACUUCCAUUCCGCAAAGACCUGGCAGCGACUCCUCCUAUAGCUGCAGUUCAAAUGAAGUGGAUGGAUCGUUUGAAGAAGAAACGCAGCGUCAAGCUGC